UACGUAGGGUGCAAGCGUUAAUCGGAAUUACUGGGCGUAAAGCGUGCGCAGGCGGUGAUGUAAGACAGAUGUGAAAUCCCCGGGCUCAACCUGGGAACUGCAUUUGUGACUGCAUCGCUGGAGUACGGCAGAGGGGGAUGGAAUUCCGCGUGUAGCAGUGAAAUGCGUAGAUAUGCGGAGGAACACCGAUGGCGAAGGCAAUCCCCUGGGCCUGUACUGACGCUGAGGCGCGAAAGCUAGGGGAGCGAACGGG
rnacentral:rRNA from 1 species